UGCGUAGGCGGCUUGGAAAGUUGGGUGUGAAAUCCCUCGGCUCAACCGAGGAAUUGCGCUCAAUACUGCCAAGCUAGAGGGAGACAGAGGUGAGCGGAACUCAGGGUGGAGCGGUGAAAUGCGUUGAUAUCCUGAGGAACACCAGUGGCGAAGGCGGCUCACUGGGUCUCUUCUGACGCUGAGGCACGAAAGCUGGGGGAGCGAACAGGAUUAGAUACCCUGGUAGUCC
rnacentral:rRNA from 1 species